CUGGCCUCCUCAGUGCAACACAGAAUAAACAAUAAUUAAAGUUGUUUAACAUCUUAGUGUCUUUACCCAAGAGGUUGCAUCUGUAAAUUAGUACUUUUCUUAAUUCAUAAUUAUCCUAAAUUAACUAAUUAUUAAUCCUAUUUACCUUAAUUAACUCUUAAUUAAUUAUUAAUGACAGUAAUUAAGCAUUAAGGCCAAACAAUAAUUAAAUGCCAAAGGCCAUUAAGGUUAAUGACCUUAGGUCAUCACAUAAUCCCAAAGUCACCCAAAUUCUAAUUUUGAGAAUUUAACUAAUUAUUACCUAAUUAUCCUAGAAUUAUUAUUUAAUUACCAAAUAGGGGUUUAAUAAUAUUUCAUUCAAACAUUAUCCAAAUGCCACCAAAUUUUGUGUGGAGCCAGGGAAUAAUAUUCAGAGGCAUCCCACAAAUUUUGGUGAUUUUUGGACAUAUAAAUAAAUUAUUAAAAAUCCUAGAAGUUGUAUUUACUAAUUAAAAGAGGCAAUUUUUAUACACAUGCAAACUACCCCAAAAUAAAACUUAACAUUUUUCCUGUGUUCUACUUAUUCUAUGGAACCUAUACAAAAAUUUUCAUACUUUUUAGAUUAGCACAUGAUUUAUUACACAAAUUCAAAUAUGAAGCAAAAACUGCAUAAAAAGAAAAAGAAAAAAACACUGCGCAGCGAGCGGCCGAGAAAUCGGCCCGCAGGCCGGCCCACUCCCGCUCGGCCCACGCGGGCGCUGCGUGUGCCCUCGCCUCCACUCAGAUGUCGCUGACAGCGGGUCCCGCUUGUCAGCUUCGUCUUCAAGCUUCGGCCUGCCGAAUCGACGGCGCGACCGAGCCAUCCGCGCCACCUCUGCCCCUCGCGACUCGCUGGUCGCGUUCUCCACUCCAAGGCGCACCUCUGGACACCCUUUGCACCCCCUCUCUCCUUCCCAAGCCCCCAC
rnacentral:lncRNA from 1 species